rnacentral:lncRNA from 1 species
AAAGAGCAUUUGAAGUGACAGACACCAAGCACCUGCCCCGUUUUUGGAAAGCAGAUUAUUCUCUGGCACCUGCUCCAUCCAACAGGUCUUAGCCUCAGACCUGCUGGCAUGCAGAUCACCUCUUGCAAAGUGACACAGGUGCAGGGGUUCCUGGUGCACCUGUUCUGACCCAACUGAAAGCUGAAACAGUUAGGGCUCACCCAGAAACUCUCGCCUGGCUCUGCUUCUUCCAUCCAGGACCUUGCUAGGUAACUCCAGAGGAAUUGAGAAAUUGCCAGGGAGUGGAAUCAAUAGCAGGACAAAACCUUCACGUUGGGAAUGCUUUGAAGCUUUCCUCUGCAGCUCAGCAAUGCCCUUCC